GACGUAGGGGGCGAGCGUUGUCCGGAGUCACUGGGCGUAAAGGGCGCGCAGGCGGUCGCGUGGGCCAUCGCGUGAAAGCCCCCGGCUCAACCGGGCGGUGGCGGGUGGGACCGCGCGGCUGGAGGGUGGUAGGGGCCGGUGGAAUUCCCGGUGUAGUGGUGAAAUGCGUAGAUACCGGGAGGAACACCAGUGGCGAAGGCGACUUCCUGGCCUGUUCUUGACGCUGAGGCGCGAAAGCUAGGGGAGCAAACGGGG
rnacentral:rRNA from 1 species